GUCUACUGCCAUACCACCCUGAAUGCGCCCGAUCUCAUCUGAUCUCGGAAGCUAAGCAGGGUCGGGCCUGGUUAGUACUUGGAUGAGAGAAAAAAAAUGGCUAUCAAAU
ensembl:rRNA 5S_rRNA 5S ribosomal RNA